GACUCCGUGGCGCAACGGUAGCGCGUCCGACUUCAGAUCGGAAGGUGUGUGUUCAAACAUGUCGGCGUCA
rnacentral:tRNA from 1 species